rnacentral:tRNA from 1 species
GGCUGGUUAGCUCAGUCUGUUAGAACAUGGUACUGAUGACACCAAUGUCGUGGGUUCAGUCCCCUUACAGGCCA